rnacentral:sRNA from 1 species
AUCCUUUUUCCCCGAGCCUCCACCCUUCCACCGCUCAUCUCCCCGAUCUCCUUUCUUCUUAGACAAGUCCACUACACCUUCAACCCCAAUCCAUACAAACCGAGAGAUAACCCAGGACACCACCGCAAGAAUAAGAAUGUACGCGGCAGUAGGCAACAACGAUCUCGGAAACACAUUAAAAAUGAAAGGGUCGAGAAUGAUAUCAACAUGCACUGGGGGCACAUUCUCCAUUAGACCCUUGUCUACUGUGAAGUAAUCAGCGGCGGCAUGGACUUGCAGAAAUAAGGCGGAGGUGGGAGUUCUGUUACGAGCGUUCCGGCUUCCCGAGCUGCCGAGUUUGGGCGGGAGGGCGAAAGGGUUGUUGGAUUGGUGCUCGUGGCUUUGUUGGUAGUCUCGGUGAAGCCGUCCGAGGAGGGUUGGGAAGUGUGAUGUUGAAAAUGUUGUUAGACUGGAGAUUAAGGAAGGCGAGUCAAGGAUUUCGGAAACGGUGAGGGUUGUAACAGUGAAGGAUGUUGGUUGCUUGAGUUCAAUUCAAAUUUUCAGUUUUAGUUGUUGGUUCAUGAGUUCGAGGUGAUUGAGGGGUUUGCAGGAACGAAAGGAACAAGGUUUCAAAGAGUCAAGAUAAAACCAGCUUUCAAACCCUUUGGGAGAUUCUUCCGACGGAAAUGAAGCUGCGAUAUAUGUUCUGGUGGAUGGCGUCUUUGGGGAUAAUCGCUCUAUCUCCAAGUCAUCGAACAUGGCCUGAUGUGAUUGUAGCAGGCUAUGUUUGGGUGCCUUGAAUAUGGUCUUCUCCACAUUGGCAGAAACAGCAAUGACCAGAAAAAGAAGUGGGCCUAAGUAAAGAAGUGACCUCAUGGCUUUUUGGAGGAUCACUCACGAAUGACGCUCAGAUGUCGAGCGCAUAAACACUUGGAUUUUGAUAGAUUGUAGUUCACGAAGGAGACAAAACAAAUCAUUCUGCCAUUUCCGGAUGAUAUGAGCAACUUUGGUGCCCUGCGAAGCAUAGUUAGCCAGUGAAGCAUAGGUAUUGGAGUGUUAAAAAAGCCUAUCUAACGAGGC